rnacentral:rRNA from 1 species
UACGGAGGGUGCAAGCGUUAUCCGGAUUCACUGGGUUUAAAGGGUGCGUAGGUGGGCUAGUAAGUCCGGGGUGAAAUCUCCAAGCUUAACUUGGAAACUGCCGUGGAUACUAUUAGUCUUGAAUAUUGUGGAGGUAAGCGGAAUAUGUCAUGUAGCGGUGAAAUGCUUAGAUAUGACAUAGAACACCGAUAGCGAAGGCAGCUUGCUACACAAUCAUUGACACUGAGGCACGAAAGCGUGGGGAUCAAACAGG